rnacentral:rRNA from 1 species
GACGAACCGAGCGAACGUUGUUCGGAUUCAUUGGGCGUAAAGGGUGCGUAGGCGGUCGUGUAAGUCGGAUGUGAAAUCUCAGGGCUCAACCCUGAAACUGCAUUCGAUACUGCAUGGCUAGGGUACUGGAGAGGAGACUGGAAUUUACGGUGUAGCAGUGAAAUGCGUAGAUAUCGUAAGGAAGACCAGUGGCGAAGGCGAGUCUCUGGACAGUUACCGACGCUGAGGCACGAAGGUCAGGGGAGCAAACGGG